CCGGCGACCGGCGCACGGGUGAGUAACACGUAUGCGACCUGCCCCCGCAGGGGAUAACCGGGAGAAAUCCCGACUAAUACCGCGUAACGCCGCGGACCUGCAUGGGUCUGCGGCCAAAGGAAGCGAUUCCGGCGGGGGAUGGGCAUGCGGCGCAUUAGCUAGUCGGCGGGGUAACGGCCCACCGAGGCGACGAUGCGUAGGGGUUCUGAGAGGAAGGUCCCCCACACUGGUACUGAGACACGGACCAGACUCCUACGGAAGGCAGCAG
rnacentral:rRNA from 1 species